UUAGAUACCCUGGUAGUCCACGCCGUAAACGAUGUCGACUUGGAGGUUGUGCCCUUGAGGCGUGGCUUCCGGAGCUAACGCGUUAAGUCGACCGCCUGGGGAGUACGGCCGCAAGGUUAAAACUCAAAUGAAUUGACGGGGGCCCGCACAAGCGGUGGAGCAUGUGGUUUAAUUCGAUGCAACGCGAAGAACCUUACCUACUCUUGACAUCCAGAGAACUUUCCAGAGAUGGAUUGGUGCCUUCGGGAACUCUGAGACAGGUGCUGCAUGGCUGUCGUCAGCUCGUGUUGUGAAAUGUUGGGUUAAGUCCCGCAAUGAGCGCAACCCUUAUCCUUUGUUGCCAGCGGUCCGGCCGGGAACUCAAAGGAGACUGCCAGUGAUAAACUGGAGGAAGGUGGGGAUGACGUCAAGUCAUCAUGGCCCUUACGAGUAGGGCUACACACGUGCUACAAUGGCGCAUACAAAGAGAAGCGACCUCGCGAGAGCAAGCGGACCUCAUAAAGUGCGUCGUAGUCCGGAUUGGAGUCUGCAACUCGACUCCAUGAAGUCGGAAUCGCUAGUAAUCGUGGAUCAGAAUGCCACGGUGAAUACGUUCCCGGGCCUUGUACACACCGCCCGUCA
rnacentral:rRNA from 1 species